rnacentral:misc_RNA from 1 species
UGAUGAAUGAAAUAAAUAGCUAGUGUUCUAAUUGGUAGGAGUGGGUGAAGCUUAAUGUUGGUGGAACUGUUUUCAUGACAACUAAAAGUACACUAAGUAAGGAUCAGAACUCUUUCUUAUGCAGAUUAUGUCAGGAUGGAAAUGAACUGGGGUCAGAUAAGGAUGAAAACGGUGCUUUUUUAAUAGAUCGAGAUCCACAAUAUUUUGGGCCUGUGCUGAAUUUUCUCAGACAUGGUAAGCUAGUCCUUGAUAAGAAUACAAGUGAAGAAGGGGUUCUCGAAGAAGCAGAGUUCUACAGUAUAACAGAUUUGAUCCGAGUUCUGCGUGAGCGUAUAUUGAAGCGUGAUACCGUGAAUACUCCAACUGGAAAACAUGUUUACAGGGUUCUACAGUGUCAUGAAGAUGAGUUAACUCAGAUGGUUUCAACGAUGUCGGAUGGUUGGAAGUUUGAACAGUUGAUAAACAUUGGUUCCCAGUAUCAGUAUGGUAACGAGGAACAUGCAGAGUUCUUGUGUGUGGUCUCUAGAGAAUAUCCACAGACAAGUGCUGGUGAGCGAACGACUGAGCCAACUGACCGAGCCAAGGUGCUGCAACAACUUGGUUCAAGAAUGUGACGCAAAUCAUAAUAACUCGAGAUAUUACUUUAAAGGAGCUUUUAAUUCAUUUUCAUGAAUAUUAGCGAUUUUCAUGCCAACUCUCAGAGAAAAUAUCUCUUGGAAAUCGUUAUAAAAAAGAAUUUAAAAAAUGAAAAGGAGGUCAAUCUGACAAAUUUUUUAUACCUCUAAUAAAAGUCUUGAACACUCCCUUUAAAAUGGUGGUGUACGGCCAAUUCUUGUGAUCUGCUCUUGUUUUCAUUUUAUCCUGUAAACCCAAUGAUUUUAACAGUUAAGUACAAUCACAAUACAGUAUAUUUAAGUAUCCACAUAUCAUGCUUUUUAAACCUGUUUCUUCAUUUUAUGAGACAUUUAGCGUCAAAUCAUCGCUCGGCUUUUCUAUUUUAUAGCCAGUAUUUUUCAUAAUAAAAGAUUAUUUAAAAA